rnacentral:rRNA from 1 species
AACACAUGCAAGUCGAACGAACCCUUCGGGGUUAGUGGCGCACGGGUGCGUAACGCGUGGGAAUCUGCCCUUUGCUUCGGAAUAACAGUUAGAAAUGACUGCUAAUACCGGAUGAUGUCUUCGGACCAAAGAUUUAUCGGCAAAGGAUGAGCCCGCGUAGGAUUAGGUAGUUGGUGGGGUAAAGGCCUACCAAGCCGACGAUCCUUAGCUGGUCUGAGAGGAUGAUCAGCCACACUGGGACUGAGACACGGCCCAGACUCCUACGGGAGGCAGCAGUGGGGAAUAUUGGACAAUGGGCGAAAGCCUGAUCCAGCAAUGCCGCGUGAGUGAUGAAGGCCUUAGGGUCGUAAAGCUCUUUUACCCGGGAUGAUAAUGACAGUACCGGGAGAAUAAGCCCCGGCUAACUCCGUGCCAGCAGCCGCGGUAAUACGGAGGGGGCUAGCGUUGUUCGGAAUUACUGGGCGUAAAGCGUACGUAGGCGGUUAUUCAAGUCAGAGGUGAAAGCCCGGGGCUCAACCCCGGAACGGCCUUUGAAACUAGGUAGCUAGAGUCUUGGAGAGGUCAGUGGAAUUCCGAGUGUAGAGGUGAAAUUCGUAGAUAUUCGGAAGAACACCAGUGGCGAAGGCGACUGACUGGACAAGUACUGACGCUGAGG